GAACUAUGGAGGCGUGUAUAUUGGUGUACAAACAGAUCCCAGUAAUGUGGCCGACGGUCAGGCAAUAGAGAAAGACUAGGACUGAGCAGAGCUCAGUGAAAAGGUGAGAAGGGACCUGUCCAUUGGGAGUCUCCUCGGAAAGCUCCAGAUAACGAUGUCAGCAGGACUUGCUGUGUGUGCUGCUCCACUCUGAUUGGCUCUCAGGGACCUCCCUGUCCGUCUCGGGGGGACCCCCACCUCCCUUUUGGGGACCGGGCCUUGUCAUUAUGAGGUCAAAGGUCAUCUCCCAAGGGCGUUUGUGGGUCGAGGAGAUCCAUGAUUGUGUUGUGUUCGUCGAGCAUCACGCAUGCUUGUUGUCACCCUCUCUCUUACCCUUGGGACCACCACACGGAGAAGCAGAGUGCUGACUGUGCAGUGUGUGUGUGUGUGUGUGUGUGUGUGUGUGUGUGUGUGUGUGUGUGUGUGUGUGUGUGUGUGUGUGACUGUGUAGUAAUCUGCACUAAUGACACCAGUUGUCUGGAGACCCUUUUGUGUGAACUGCACCCAGAGAGAUUCUCCUGGACCCUCCAGGGUAUCUGGGCCCUGCCUGUGUGUGUGUGUGUGUGUGUGUGUGACUGGGCAGAAAGAGAGACGAUGAGAGAAGCACGUACACCAAGGCUGACACACUUUUGGCUGCUCAAGGUCACCAAGUACUCCAUCUCUCUGACAUACUUCACUUUUAUAAGGGGAGCGCUCGGUUUGAGGGAAAUAUGUAAAGUGUGUGUGUGUGUGUGUGUGUUCAUGUGUAUAUCUGUGUAUUUUUUUUAUGUGUGUAUG